UCGCCCCCCUUCACCGGGAUUGCCUCAGUAACGGCGAGUGAAGCGGCAAGAGCUCAAAUUUGAAAUCUGGCCCCCUCGGGGUCCGAGUUGUAAUUUGGAGAGGAUGCUUCGGGUGCGGUCCCCGUCUAAGUGCCCUGGAACGGGCCGUCAUAGAGGGUGAGAAUCCCGUCUGGGAUGGGCGGCCGCGCCCGUGUGAAGCUCCUUCGACGAGUCGAGUUGUUUGGGAAUGCAGCUCUAAGCGGGUGGUAAAUUUCAUCUAAAGCUAAAUACUGGCCGGAGACCGAUAGCGCACAAGUAGAGUGAUCGAAAGAUGAAAAGCACUUUGAAAAGAGAGUUAAACAGCACGUGAAAUUGUUGAAAGGGAAGCGUUGGCCCCCAGACGCGCCCAGGGGGGUUCAGCCGGCACGUGUGCCGGUGCACUCCCCCCUGGGUGGGCCAGCAUCGGUUUGGGCGGUCGCUGAAAGGCCCCGGGAAUGUAGCACCCUCCGGGGUGCCUUAUAGCCCGGGGUGUCAUGCGGCCCGCCUGGACCGAGGCCCGCGCUUCGGCGAGGAUGCUGGCGUAAUGGUGGUCAACGGCCCGUCUUGAAACACGGACCAAGGAGUCUAACAUCUAUGCGAGUGUUUCGGGUGUCAAACCCGUCCGCGCAGUGAAAGCGAACGCAGGUGGGAACCCCUCCCGGGGCGCACCAUCGACCGAUCCUGAUGUCUUCGGAUGGAUUUGAGUAAGAGCAUAGCUGUUGGGACCCGAAAGAUGGUGAACUAUGCCUGAAUAGGGCGAAGCCAGAGGAAACUCUGGUGGAGGCUCGCAGCGGUUCUGACGUGCAAAUCGAUCGUCAAAUUUGGGUAUAGGGGGCGAAAGACUAAUCGACCCAUCUCGUAGCUGGGUUCUGCCGAAGUUUCCGGGCAGGAACACAAGCUACCGAAUGGUCCGAUUAGUCUUUCGCCCUA
rnacentral:rRNA from 1 species